rnacentral:tRNA from 1 species
AGCUUUAUAGUCAAUAAUGAUUUUAGACUGCAAUUCUAAAGGAGUAAGUAAAAUUACUAAGGCUU